rnacentral:rRNA from 1 species
CAGCCGCCGCGGUAAUACGAAGGGUGCAAGCGUUACUCGGAAUUACUGGGCGUAAAGCGUGCGUAGGUGGUUGUUUAAGUCUGCUGUGAAAGCCCUGGGCUCAACCUGGGAAUUGCAGUGGAUACUGGGCAACUAGAGUAAGGUAGAGGAUAGUGGAAUUUCCGGUGUAGCAGUGAAAUGCGUAGAGAUCGGAAGGAACAUCUGUGGCGAAGGCGACUAUCUGGGCCAUUACUGACACUGAGGCACGAAAGCGUGGGGAGCAAACAGGAUUAGAUACCCGAGUAGUCCCUGUCUCUUAUAC